rnacentral:rRNA from 1 species
GUGAAAUUCCGUCGGAAUCUGGGAGGACCAUCUCCUAAGGCUAAAUACUCUCUAGUGACCGAUAGUGAACCAGUACCGUGAGGGAAAGGUGAAAAGUACCCCGGAAGGGGAGUGAAAGAGAACUUGAAACCGUGUGCUUACAAGUAGUCAGAGCCCGUUAAUGGGUGAUGGCGUGCCUUUUGUAGAAUGAACCGGCGAGUUACGAUCUGAUGCAAGGUUAAGCAGAAAAUGUGGAGCCGUAGCGAAAGCGAGUCUGAAUAGGGCGAAUGAGUAUUUGGUCGUAGACCCGAAACCAGGUGAUCUACCCUUGGUCAGGUUGAAGUUCAGGUAACACUGAAUGGAGGACCGAACCGACUUACGUUGAAAAGUGAGCGGAUGAACUGAGGGUAGCGGAGAAAUUCCAAUCGAACUUGGAGAUAGCUGGUUCUCUCCGAAAUAGCUUUAGGGCUAGCCUCAAGUGAUGAUUAUUGGAGGUAGAGCACUGUUUGGACGAGGGGCCCCUCUCGGGUUACCGAAUUCAGACAAACUCCGAAUGCCAAAUAAUUUAACUUGGGAGUCAGAAUGUGGGUGAUAAGGUCCAUAUUCGAAAGGGAAACAGCCCAGACCACCAGCUAAGGUCCCAAAAUAUAUGUUAAGUGGAAAAGGAUGUGGCGUUGCCCAGACAACUAGGAUGUUGGCUUAGAAGCAGCCAUCAUUUAAAGAGUGCGUAAUAGCUCACUAGUCGAGUGACACUGCGCCGAAAAUGUACCGGGGCUAAACAUAUUACCGAAGCUGUGGAUUGUCCUUUGGACAAUGGUAGGAGAGCGUUCUAAGGGCGUUGAAGCAUGAUCGCAAGGACAUGUGGAGCGCUUAGAAGUGAGAAUGCCGGUGUGAGUAGCGAAA